UGAGAGCCGGAGGCGCGGGGCAGGGAUGAGGCUGUGGCGGCCCCAAGGGAAGCUCGUUUCAGGGGGUCCGGCUGCCAGGCCGGGCUGUUCGGUGUCUGGGAGCGGCAGAGACCCGCUGUCCUGGGAGAGGAGACUGCGCGGAGCUUUCAGUCGGCAUUUGAGAGUGCUGCUGGCACAUCCUGAAUCUCUGUGGAAGCCCCCAGGGAAUGUGCUCACUGAGUGCCAUCCCAUGAGAUGCAAUAGCUGAGGUGUCACGCAUGGCUGCAGAGAUCAUUGCUAUGAAAAGGUGAUGCUGCACUUCAGCAAAGAGGGCUUGGACAAGAGCAGGGCCCUCAAUUCAGGCUGGUAGCUGGAAAGCAGUGAUGAAAAUUUUCAGCCAGCUCAUGCCAGGCUGCUUGUAUGCAGCUGCCCACAUAAAGU